CCUGCUGCAUUUCCCCCUUUUAUCCCCCAAACCCAGCACACCUGGGUGCUAUUGGAGUCUCCUCCCACCCCAGGUGUGACCUCUUUGCCCUCCCCACCCACUCACUCCUCUUUAUAACAGGCCCGGGAGGGGCAGCAGAGCUAAGUUUGCCCAUCUGGGCAGAGGGAUCCUCCUCCCAUCGUCACUGGUCGUGCCAGUCUAGGCCACCAUACCUUUCAAAGCAUAUCAGCAAGAGUCAAAAACCUGUUUGCACUACGCCUUAGCUACGUAGCUUCUAGGAUUUAUUGAUAGGAAGCAAGCUCGAAGCAGAUGCAUACUGCUGCUGAACAGUAAACCCCGAGACAGUAGACGGAAACCAAGUCCCAGUGACUCAAAGGCCGGGACACCCCUGCGUCCUCGCAACGGCGCCCAUACACCAGGGGCCGGGACUGCGUCCCCGUCACGGCACCGCAGGCUGGGGCACCGGCUGGAGGAAGGAAGCGGGAGUGCCACAGCCACGCGUCCAUACGAGGGGGCAGCAAGGCUGCGGCCGCACGAAGCACGACCGGCUCCCCACCCUCUGCCUUGAAAAUGGGCGCCGCAUCAGCCCCCAGCUGCUGCCCGGGUGAGGUGUGGUGCCGGCCGUGUCCCGCCCGUUCACCGGGACCCACCUGCACAGCAGAGAGGCACAAAGACCAGUAAGCAGAAGAACGACGGCACCACGGUCGCACGCCCCAGGGCCACCGCCGCCAGAUCGCCAUCCAUCCGACCCUCGGCGCAACGGGCGGCCGCACCGUUACCGGAAGCCUCGGGCGGCUGCGCAUGCGCAGGUUGCCGCCGCAACACCCUGCCGGCUACGGUGAGAGUGUCGCUGGGGCUGCGGGAUUGGGGUGUCUGU